rnacentral:rRNA from 1 species
CCUACGGGAGGCAGCAGUGAGGAAUAUUGGUCAAUGGGCGCGAGCCUGAACCAGCCAAGCCGCGUGAAGGAUGACUGCCCUACGGGUUGUAAACUUCUUUUAUAAAGGAAUAAAGUGAGGCACGUGUGCCUUUUUGUAUGUACUUUAUGAAUAAGGAUCGGCUAACUCCGGGCCAGCAGCCGCGGUAAUACGGAGGAUCUGAGCGUUAUCCGGAUUUAUUGGGGUUAAAGGGAGCGUAGAGGGGUUGUUAAGUUAGUUGUGAAAGGUUGGGGCUCAACCGUUAAAUUGCAAUUGAUACUGGCAGCCUUGAGGACAGGUGAGGUAAGCGGAAUGCGUGGUGUAGCGGUGAAAUGCUUAG